GGGGAAUAUUGCACAAUGGGCGCAAGCCUGAUGCAGCGACGCCGCGUGAGGGAUGGAGGCCUUCGGGUUGUAAACCUCUUUUAUCGGGGAGCAAGCGAGAGUGAGUUUACCCGUUGAAUAAGCACCGGCUAACUACGUGCCAGCAGCCGCGGUAAUACGUAGGGUGCAAGCGUUAUCCGGAAUUAUUGGGCGUAAAGGGCUCGUAGGCGGUUCGUCGCGUCCGGUGUGAAAGUCCAUCGCUUAACGGUGGAUCCGCGCCGGGUACGGGCGGGCUUGAGUGCGGUAGGGGAGACUGGAAUUCCCGGUGUAACGGUGGAAUGUGUAGAUAUCGGGAAGAACACCAAUGGCGAAGGCAGGUCUCUGGGCCGUUACUGACGCUGAGGAGCGAAAGCGUGGGGAGCGAACAGGAUUAGAUACCCUGGUAGUCCACGCCGUAAACGGUGGAUGCUGGAUGUGGGGCCCGUUCCACGGGUUCCGUGUCGGAGCUAACGCGUUAAGCAUCCCGCCUGGGGAGUACGGCCGCAAGGCUAAAACUCAAAGAAAUUGACGGGGGCCCGCACAAGCGGCGGAGCAUGCGGAUUAAUUCGAUGCAACGCGAAGAACCUUACCUGGGCUUGACAUGUUCCCGACGGUCGUAGAGAUACGGCUUCCCUUCGGGGCGGGUUCACAGGUGGUGCAUGGUCGUCGUCAGCUCGUGUCGUGAGAUGUUGGGUUAAGUCCCGCAACGAGCGCAACCCUCGCCCCGUGUUGCCAGCGGAUUAUGCCGGGAACUCACGGGGGACCGCCGGGGUUAACUCGGAGGAAGGUGGGGAUGACGUCAGAUCAUCAUGCCCCUUACGUCCAGGGCUUCACGCAUGCUACAAUGGCCGGUACAACGGGAUGCGACGCGGCGACGCGGAGCGGAUCCCUGAAAACCGGUCUCAGUUCGGAUCGCAGUCUGCAACUCGACUACGUGAAGGCGGAGUCGCUAGUAAUCGCGAAUCAGCAACGUCGCGGUGAAUGCGUUCCCG
rnacentral:rRNA from 1 species